rnacentral:lncRNA from 1 species
GUUUUUAAAGCUUUAAAUGGUUUUUUUCUUGUCAUUUGAAUUUUUUCCCUUCAUCCUUGUGAUUUGCAAGAUUCUUCCAUUGCAUUAUAUUCGUAGGGCUGCCAUAAUGAAUCAUCACAAACUUGGUGUCUUAAAACAACAGAAAUGUAUUAUCGCAGUUCAGAGGGCUAGAAGUUGUCCUCAGGGCUGUCCUUCCUCUGGGAUCUAAGAGAGACUCCGUUCCCACUUCUCCCUGCUUCUGUGGCUCCAGACUUUGCCUGGUUUGUGGCUACAUAACUUCUCUCUUCCCCUGACCUGCGUGUGUCUGUGUCUUUGGAUAGAGGGUCCACCCUUGUAAUCCAGGAUGAUCUCCCCCCAGUAUCAUUAUUCACAUCUACAAAAACCCCAGAUAAUACGUGCUGGAGGCAGGUUUCCAAUGCAUGCAUUUUGACUGACUCUGCUAAUCACUGGAUUAUAUGCCUCCUAAGAUCAGAUGGCUGAGACUUCCAGUUAUUUAAAUAAAGGCAUUUCGUGUGGCUUAGCCUAUACAGGUGAAAACUAGUACUGUGAGGUUACAGGUGGAAGAAAUAGUGUGCUAGCUGGGGAGGCAAGUAAUCUGGGUUCUGGGGUCAAUCCUGUAUUGACCCCCAGAUUCCAAGGAUAGGAAGCUGUUUCAUCACUGUUUCUCUUCCAAACCAUUUACCUGGUUUAACCUGCAGGGAGACUGAGAAGAAAUAACCAUUGAUUUAUUCCCUGGGUUUGGGCUGGGAGUGUGCAAUGGGAUUUUGGGGAACACUUUCUAAUUUUUUAUUACUAAAGUAAAUCAUUUUAAGGAAAUCUGGAAAAUAGAAGGAAAAAAAUAUUUUUAAUUCCACUAACCUAAUCAUCUAUUUCUGUACAUUUUUAUCGUUGUAAUCAUGUGAAUCCAAUACAUCAUCCUUUUGCUCGUUGCUAGAUAAUAUUCAUAAAUGACUUUUUUUUAGCUAACAUCCGUUAUCUCACAACAUAAAUCAUUUUUUUUAAGACAAGUACUUUCAUCUCCAUUUUAUAGUUGCAGACGCUGAAGUUCAAGAGACUGACUUACUAAAGGUCCCACAAUUAGUAAGUGAUAAAUCUGGGAACCAUAAAGAAAUUAUAAUUUAUAAUGCCUAAAAUCUUGUGACUGUUACAAGGUUGCAUUUGCAUAUGGGGAUAUUUCUAGCAGGUAUUUGCACAUCAACAUCCAGUUAAUCUGUUGCCACAUAACAAACCACUCCAAAAAGUAGUGCCUUAAAUCAAUGAUUACAUUCAUUUUCCUCAUGAAUUUAUAAUUUGGCUGGGGUUGGCAAGGACAGUUUGUCUUUGCUCCCCGUGGCAUCUCUGCGCUGGGACCACAUCUGAAAACUCACCUUCCUACUCACAGGUUGCCGGGUAAGAGUGGCCCUGGGCUGGGACCGCAGCUGGACUGUGGCCAGAACACCUCCACCCUGCCCUCCCUGGUGGCUGCUGGCCCACCUCCCACAGGGGUCAGUGGAUUCCAAAGCAAACCUGGCAAGAGAAAAGAAACAAGGCAAAACUGCCUCCCCUUUUGUGAGCUUGUCUGAGAAGUCAAACAGGAUCCCUUCUGCCAUAUUCUAUUUGUUAGAAGCAAGCCCCUUUCAAGGGAAGGGGAAUUGGGCUCUAUCUUUUGUUGGGAAGAACAUCAACGAAUUCACAGGCAUGUUUUAAGACUUCACAGCUCAGCAGGUGAGGGCGGAAGAACGGGUGCCGUGAAACUUAAGGAAAAGUUAACAUAAAACAAGAUACAGAGACAUUUAUCUUAAGUAAAGGUGGGAACUGGGGGACUCAAGGUCUCAGGGACCAAGAGUGCUGCCUCAAGAAACCACACUGCUUUUACUGUGCUCUUUAGGAUGACGUCAAGUGAGGAGGGGGUUAUAGGUGUAGGAUAUAGUUUUUUGUAUUAUUUUAGAAGUUCUUUUAUUAUUUUAGAAGUCACACAGCUGGUAGAUGAUUAAGCUUUUAUUCUGACCUUUAGGCAUUUAACAAUCAUUAGCAUUUGGGGAAGCUUGGCUAUCUGUGCAUAGCAUCUCAAGAAUCACCAUUGUGCUUCCACAAAGGGCAUGUCUAUCUGCGGCAACCUGGGGUGCCUAGGUUUGCACCUUGGUUCUCCUUGCUGAUGCAUAUUCUGCUAAUGACCAUUCAUAAACCACUUGGGGCCAUGAGGUUCCUCUUUCUCUUAUUUUGAUAGGACAUAUGUUGUGCAGACGCCCUGCCCAUCUGCACAGGCGUGCCCAUCUGCACAGGUCCGGCAUCCCUGUCCUCAUUCAGCUGACCCUAAGAAUAACUUAUGCCUUUAGGUCUUUGUUCUUAAGCUUAAGUCGUUUACCAGCACUGCAACUGUUUUUCGAGCAGGAAGAUGGGGUAAAGUAAGGCAGGACAAGAUGGAGGUUUUAGCAAAGAAAAUAGAAACAGAGUGGCUAAGAAAAUAUUGUAGAAACAUGUCUCCCGACAUCGAUCCAUGCUUCCAGAUCCUAUGGUAGCAUGUGGCUGAGGCUCCCUGGCUACUAUCCCCUAGGGUAGCUCCACCCAAUCUGAACACCUGUGACUCAAGAGACAAGCCAUCUCCCCACCAUACCCAAAAUACAGCAGUGGGUCAAGGUAUAGACACUUAGGCUCAAAAGGGAGAAAAGUGGGGAGCCCAGAGUAGUCCCUGGCUCACAGCAGUUCUGCAAUCCUCCUGAGUGUGUGCUGCCAGUUCCCUGAUGAGGACUCAGUUCUGUUUCUUGGAAGUCAUUCACCAUAUCUGCUCUUGAGUCUACCCUUUGGGCACUUUUCCUUUUCCACUAAAAGUAGCCCAUCUUUGCAGCUGAGUUGCUCUCUUAGACUGCUUCCUGCCCUUUGGGAAUUCGAAGGCCUGAUGUCCCUUAUGGUUUAAGUUCAUCAUAGUUCUUUAAGGAAAAAACAUUGCAGGCUUCUUAAGAAUCAAUUUAUGACCCACUCCAUUAGGCAAAACCAUACCCACAAAUCUCAUUUAGCCCUUCUCUGCCUUAGUCUCUGCAAAGCUACUGUCUGAGCUUAUAGUUUGCAGGUCUUUGUAUGCUUGAAAGGGUCUAUGAAGCAACACCUUAAAACUUCCUGAGGUCUUAACACAGAUUUUUUGUUUUUCCUUCUUAUGGCUGCUCCUGUGGCGUAUGGAAAUUCCCAGGCUAGGGGUUGAAUCAGAGUUGUAGCUGCCUGCCGGCCUACGCCACAGCAGCGCCAGAUCUGAGCUGUGUCUGCUACCUAUGCCUCAGCUUGCAGCAACACCAGAUCCUUAACCCCACUGAGCAAGGCCAGGGAUCAAACCUGCAUCCUCAUGGACACUAGUUGGGUUUGUUACCACUGAGCCACAGCAGGAACUCCCUACUUUUCAUAUUUAAUUACCGAAUAUGUAAGGUAUAAUCUGUAAAGCAUGAUAGUGCUACAAUAUUUUACUUGGGAAAGCAGAGCUGUAGGUGUGUGACGGAGAAGGAGGCAAGGGCAGAAGAUUCCUAGUAGGCCUUUGUACACAUAAAAUCCUCCAAUAUUGUGAGAAGAUACACAGAGCCCUAGUCCAUACCUGCAAUGUCUGCAAAAAUCCUCAAAUGGCUCUUUUCUGGAUUAAUAGGAUCUCAAUUAUUAAUUAAGUGAACAUUAAGAUGAUCUCAAGUGAGCUUUUCUAGCUUCUUAACACAAAGAAGAGACCCUCUCAGCCACAUGGGUUACGAAUCAGGAAACAUUAUUUUUGUGUGUGUAAAGGCACAUGAGUUUAUGUUGCUAUUAGUGUUCUUUUAAUGAAUCAAACUCUCUGGCCAGAAACAUCUUCAGUUCUGACUUCCUUCUACAUUCCUAUCAACCACCCUCUAAUUUGACUUACAAAGCACUUUUACCUGGCCGGCCCCAUAUUUACCUAAGAUAAUUGAGCACAGGGGAGCCCUUUAAAACAGCCUGACAUUGGGCUCCUUGGACUCUCAUUAAGAGGGAAUUUGCUCACCAACUGUUGCCCAAAGGUAUUUUUGGUCUCGAAGUGAAAUUUGUUUUUCUUUUUAUAGUUGCACCUGCAGCAUAGCAAGUUCCUGGCCCAGGAGUCAAACUAGAGCUGCAGCUGAGGCCAUAGCAACACCAGAUCUGAGCUGCAUCUGCCACCUACACUGCAGCUCACAGAAACCCUGGAUCCUUAACCCAAUGAGAGAAGCUGGAGAUCAGAUCUGAAUCCUCACAGAUGCUAUGUCGGGUCCCUAACUUACUGAGCCACAACGGGAACUCCUCAGAGUUAAAUUUUGAUUAGUAGUCAGUUUGCCUUAUGGAAUACCUCAUGUUUCUUUUCCUUCAACGGCAUUUAUCCCUGUCUGUGUGUGUUUGCAUUUGAACAUGAACGUAUGUCCUUAUGUGAGCGAGUUCCAACUAGUUUGUUUUCCAAUUGUUUCUUGCUGAGAGGCCUUCGAUUUUCUUGGCCAGCACGUUGCUGUACAAUGAAGAAAAACAAUCAAAUGAUGAUAGGUUAAAAUCACAAUAAAGGUUGUGUCUAGCAAUGGAUCUAAAUUUCUUCUGAGAAGUAGAAAAAUAACAUUCCCUGACACUAUUAUAUCCUUUAUGACCAUGUUUAGUCUGUGUAGUUUUUCUGGAACAAAAUACCAGUGUCUAUUGAUUUUGGCUCUUGUUCCCUAUAUCUGUCAAAAACCUGUGAUCUUAACCAUUAGAUAUUCAAUCUCCAAGGACAACGUUGUUGAGCUUAAUCUCACCCUCUCCUGUAGUAAGAGCAAACAUAUCAGCAUUGUUUGGUUCAGACUGGGGUUGCCUGAGAAGAAUAAUGAAUCGUACAUUGAGGAAAAUAAGGCAUUUAGACAAUCAUGCUUAGGAAUUUGGCACCAUGAAUUGCAACUUUCCCCACAGCUUUGGCUCAGGGUUUCUCCCCUUUGCCCCCUCCUCCAAGAUGCUCUGGACCACAGGAAUUAGGUUCCCGCCCAUCUCCCAUUCUUUCCUCUGUUUAUCCUUUACCCUAGUCCCUUACGAGGACCACUAACUUUCUCUUAUUUCUAGAGCUCUCAAUACCUAGAUUACAAAGGUUUUACUCCACUCUUAAAGCUUGAGAAUUCUAGCAGUUCCUGUCGUGGCUCAGCGGUAAAGAAGCCAACUAGGAUCCAUGAAGACGUGGGUUCAAUCCCUGGCCUCGCUCAGUGGGUUAAGGAUCCAGCGUUGCCGUGAGCUGUGGUGUAGGUUGCUAUGGCUGUGGCGCAAGCUGACAACUGCAGCUUUGAUUUGACCCCUAGCCUGAAACUUUCAUAUGCUGCAGGUGCAGCCCUAAAAAGCAAAAAACAAACAAACAAACAAAUCUUGAGAAUUCUACAUAAUUCUGUUGCAGAAUGAUGGAAAUGGUGGUAUACAUUAAAUGGAGUACAAGUCUGCAAAAUAACACACUCAUAGCAAGUCUGUAAAAUAGCACAGGGUCACAGCAUUCCAGCAUGAGCCGAGGGCAGUGAGGCGCCUCAGUAAAUAAUUGGUGAGUGAAUAAGAAGAGCUUGUUUGGGGAGAGGAUGGAGGGAUCAAGUGACUUGCUGGAGGUUCCACUCCCGGAUGACGAUGAAUUCUUACCAGAAUCCAGAUCUUCCUGUUUCAUCCAGUUCUCACGCUUCUACAUGGCCAAGCUUCCAGUGAUUUGCAUUACUUUCGGAAACUGGUGCCUCUGGGGAUCUGGGGAUCAGCAGUGCUGCUGCCAAACAAAGGCAUCCUGGGGCCAUCUGGUGUCUGACCAAGUCGGGCUCUUAGCAGGGGCUUUGGUUCCUCUUUCCUGGUGUUAAGAACGCAGUUAUUUUGAUUUAAAAAAUAUGGUCUUUGAUUUCUUGUUAAAUUAGACUAAACCAAGAUUCAGAUGAUGUCAACCAUGCAAAUGGAGUUCUGCCAAUACAUAGUUUUCAGUGCCGUAAAUGUUUAUCUUAGUACAAAAGUAAUACGUGUUAAAUAUAGGAAAUGAUAUAACAG